GUGGUCAUUUCAGCAGCACAUACACUAACAAAAAAUUAGAACAAUACAAAGAUUAGAAUCACCCCUGUACAAGGAUGACAAGCAAAUGCGUGAGGCAUUCCAUUAAAAA